UUACACACAAUGCAUCCCUUACACACACAGAAACACUCAAUGCACCCCUUACACACACUCAAUGCAUCCCGUACAUACACAGAAACACACCUUGCAGCCCUUACACAUACAAACACAGAUUCACACAAUGCAUUCCUUACACACAUAUCAGGACAUCCCCUACACACUCCACCCCCUGUGAACAAACUCAUUAGUGGAACAUGAAGGUGGACCCUGGGACCCAGACCUUGAGCUGUGUAAAGGGCCCCCAAAAAAUGGAGCUGCUUCCCGUUCUCCCAGAACAUUGAUUUUUGUGACCACAGUUACAAAC